rnacentral:rRNA from 1 species
GACGAACGCUGGCGGCGUGCCUAAUACAUGCAAGUCGAACGAACCGCGACUGAGUGCUUGCACUUGGUCAAGGUGAGUGGCGAACGGGUGAGUAACACGUGGGUAACCUACCUCAUAGUGGGGGAUAACAGUCGGAAACGACUGCUAAUACCGCAUAGGACAUAGGAUCACAUGAUCCAGUGAGGAAAGGUGGCGCAAGCUAUCGCUAAGAGAUGGACCCGCGGUGCAUUAGCUAGUUGGUAGGGUAAAGGCCUACCAAGGCGAUGAUGCAUAGCCGACCUGAGAGGGUGAUCGGCCACAUUGGGACUGAGACACGGCCCAAACUCCUACGGGAGGCAGCAGUAGGGAAUCUUCCGCAAUGGACGCAAGUCUGACGGAGCAACGCCGCGUGAGUGAAGAAGGUCUUCGGAUCGUAAAGCCCUGUUGUUAGAGAAGAACAGCGCAUAGAGUAACUGCUAUGCGUGUGACGGUAUCUAACCAGAAAGCCACGGCUAACUACGUG